rnacentral:lncRNA from 1 species
AUGCCUGGAGCCGAAAUAUAAAUUUGACCGUAAUUAAGCUCAAAAACAACAAAAAGAAUUCGAAGAAAAAUGUGAUUCUCAACGAAGAGUGAAAGAACCGAAAAUGACGAGUAACCUUAAUGGAAGGAAGGUUCGCGUAGGCCGAAAGCAACUCAGGCUCGAGGGCUUGAAAUCCAACCAAAGAGUCAUCUCCUCCAUCGUCGUCGCAAUAAUCACCAUUAUCAUCUUCGUAAUCGUUGUAAUAAUACUCGCCAUCGCUACUCAUAUAAUCACCCAUUCCAAUUCCCGAUCAAAAAGAACGCGAAAACGCUCUCGAUUGAACGUUUCGAUCAAAUCAAAUCAAACAACAUAAAAGAGAAAAGCGAAGAAGGCUUGCUGACGAAGCAAAACGGUGGAAUGGAGCCGGAAGCGAGUUAUUCCUUUCACUUCUUCUCCGGCUCAGAGUGAGCUCACGAUCAAGGCUUCGACUGGUGAGAGGCGUGAGACAAGAAACUCUUUCUUCAGUGUUUUUUUUUUAAAUAGAAUUUAUCCUUGAGUAACGGCGAAGAGUUCGCGUUUCGCGCCGUUAUUUUUUACGCCGUUAGGAUUAAUUCCAGUUUUUAUUAUUGUUUUUGCAACUCGGGAUAUAUAGUAGGGCGGGACUCGGCGAGCAGGAAGAAUAACAUACCACGCAGUGUACCAGUUUAAUCGUGCUACUUGGAAAUUUGCAUUGCCACUUGGAUCGGAAGCGUUUAGCGGGUUGCGUUAGCGUACGCGCAGUCGUAUACGUGGCUUUAAAGUACUGGUUUAAAGUCGUAUAUCGCGUACGCCCUAGAUUUCUUCCAAAAGCUUUGUUUAUUUGUCCAUUAUUGCUUUUUGACUAGUUUGAUAAAAAACUUUAUUAAUAAAUGUACGAUGAAAAUUAAUUUUCUCUUUAGUCACACUCUUUGACUCGAAGUUAAUCUAGAUAAUAUAACAAUGACAAACUAUUAAAUAACAAAAGAGUAUUUAAUACAAUAAAUUAUUUUUCUAUUCUAUAAGAAAAUAAAUAGUUUCAAAAAAAAAGAAAUUAAAGUUGUUUACCAAACUAACCAAUUUUUUUCCAAAAUUAAAUAAUAAUUACUCGUUAAAAAUAGAUAUAAUAUUUUAAAAAAAUUUAAAAUAUUCAAAUAAAUUUAAAUAAAAUUUUUUAUUACGUGAUUAAUAAUUUUUAAUCAAAAUAUCACUUAUAUUUUUAUGUCAUGUGAUAUUAACGUAACAUGUUGAUAUAUUAUUAUAAAUAAUGAAGUAACAUGUUGAUGUGAUAUGAUAGUACAACCACGUGGUAUUUUUACUAUUCAUGUCAAAGCCAUGUAAGUAUAUAAUGAUAAAUGACGUUCAUUAAUCAUAAGAACUUAAUCAAUACAAAAUUAAAAUAUAAAAUUUUGAUAGAACGUAAUAAAAAAAUAAAAAUUUAUUUAAAAUUUUUGAAUUAUUUAUAGACUUUUUAAAACAUUAUACUUUAAAAAUAUAAAUUUUGCAUUGCUUCCAUAAUUUUAAAAUGAUUUUUUAUACACAUUUUAAUUCUAUGACAUGCUAAAUUAAGAUUAUAUAUGUUUAACCCAAAAGUUUUAACAAAUUUUUUGGAUACAUAACUAUAUUUUAGUAGAAAAAAAGUAUCUUUAGAGUUUAUAUUUUUUUGAUAGUUACAUGCUAGCAAAUCCACAUUACACAAAUUUAGUCUAUUAUAAGAUUUAUUAGAAAAAUAUAAAUUCAAACAUUAUUUCUCUUUAUUAUAUAUCAAGGAAUUGAUAAAUUAAUAUGGGAGGGGACAAAAGCAAAUCAAUUAAACCUAAACAUUAAGCUUCAAAAACAAUCACCAUCAAAUCACUUUUCCCACAUAAAAUAAAGGAAAAGAAACCCUUUUUUUUCUUUUCAAGUGUACUAUUCAUUUUGAGGACAUAUAAAAGAAAGGGUCAUGUUAUGAUUUCAAGCAUAGGAUCUUUGCUUUUGUUUUAAAGCAGAAGAAUGUGAUGACUUCUAAUGGAUGUAAACCUCUUUCAUCAAAACAAAUUCCCCAUUUUAUAAUGUGAAAAUAGCCGAAAGUGCAUGGCUCACAUCAUUAUUUUCAUGAUAUUGAGAUACUCCAAAUCAUUAAUUAUAUCAUUUGGAGAUUAAUCCUAAUUAAGAGAAUGGUUAAUGAAGUAGACAAAGGCUUGGAAUGGAAAUUUUAGGAGGUUAAUUUUGAUCCUAGCCUCCCUCCAAAGGCCUAAUCCUUUCCUAUAACAUGAAUUAGUUUGGUAAGUUUAGUAUCAAAUGCUACUAACAUAUCUACUUAUCCAAUCUCGGCUUGAUAUAUGCUGCCAUGGGUUCUCCAUUUUCCUGUUUAUUUGAAUCUCUCACCAGUGGACAAAAGGGAGAACAGGGAUUGAAACUACAGAUCAAUAUUCCUGACUUGAAAUGCAAGAGAAUGUUAUUGGGGAAUCAGAUCUACAUACAAAAAGGGUUCUGACAAUUUGGAAAUGUAAGAUAUCAGAUCAUCAAGAAGCUUAAAGAAAUGGCAACGACAAAGAUUUUCUACAAACCAACAAACAAUGGUGUAUUCCAAGUUUCCAAACCCUUUUUUAACGUUUGGAGUACUGUGGAGCUUUACGAGCCUUUUUGAGCCCAACUUUCUUCCUCUCCACGACUCUGGAAUCCCUGGUCAAAAGCCCUUCUUUCCUCAACGGGCUGCGAUGGUCCUCACUCACCUUGAGCAAUGCACGGGCAAUGCCCAGGGAGAUUGCCUGAGCCUGUCCCGAAAGGCCACCCCCAUGAGCUUUGACAAAUACAUCGUAACUAGUCUCGUACCCCAAUGUCACCAAUGGAACUUUUAUGUACUGCAGCCACAACGGAUUCCCUUGCAGAUACUCCUGCAUCAGAAGUUUAAAGCAUUAAAAAAGGCAAUUCUAAUGAGAUUCCUUAAGUUGUCUUUGGUUCUUGGUUUUCAUACUUGGUUUUUUUGCUUGCCCACAUACUUGAAUUAUUCCCACAACACAAACAAAUCAUCAAACAUCUGAAAGACAACUAAUUGAUUAUUACAGAACACAGGAAAUUCCCUCCUAAAAAUAACCCAGAAACCGAAGGGUUAAAAGUUACCCUGGCGUCACGGUAGUUGAUGAUGAACUUUCCGGUGCCUUCCUGGAGAACCACACGAGCAAUGGCGCUUUUCCGGCGUCCCGUCCCUAUGAUAGUCUGAGCCGCGAACCCACCGGGUAGCCUGGACUUAACGUACUUCUUGAGGUCCUCUACCGGUUCCGAUUCAGGUGGGGCAGCAACGGUGGCGGAGAUGGAGAGGGAACGGGUGGUUUUGGAGAAGAGAGAAAUGGGGACGGAUUUUGGCGGUUGGGGAAUUGAGACACUGUUUGGAUUCCGGGAAAUUUGAGAGGAAAAUGAGAGGGAAGAAAGGGAUGAUGUAAGGGAAGAUAUAGAAAGAGCCAUUGUUUGUGGGAAAUUGAUUGUUAUUAGAAAUUUGGUGGUAUUUUGUGACAGUGCUGCUGGCGAGGAGCAGGGCAAGCUGAGACUGGGAGAGCCAGAGAGGAUAACGUACGAGGAAUAGACGAUAAUGUCCCCAAGCAUGUACGAGGUACGACGUCGUAUUAUUCGAGUUCGUUUUGGACAUAAUUGGAGAGUCACCUUAAUAGCACGUUUGGUUCGCGGAAUAGAUAAGAAUAGAAUAGAAUAGCUAUUACAUGAAAAUAGAAUGAGAUGAGAAUAGAAUAGAAUAGGUAUUACGUAGUUUGGUAUGAUAAAUGGAAUAGAGUAGGAAUGAUUAUUAUGACGUAUUACAGUAUUUUGUUGGUAAAAAUAACUUUGAAAUAAGAAAAGAAUAAAAAUAAAAAGAUAAAAAUACCCUUUAUUAUAUAAUGAUUAUUAAUUUUAUUUUAUUUUUUAAAUAUUAAUAUUUUAUUAAUAUUUUAAUCAUAAUAAUGUUUAAAUUAUAUAUAAAAUACUAAUAUUUUAUUUUAUAAUUUAAUGUUAUAAUGAUUAUUUAUUUUUAAUUAUUUAUUUUAAACAUUAAUAAUGUAUAAUUUAUUUAAAAUAUUAAAAAUUGAUAGUUUAAAUAUUAAUAUUUUAUUUAUAUUUUAAUCAUUAAUAUUAAAUGUUAUUGUGAUUAUUAUUUUUAUUUUAUUUUAUCUUUUAAAUAUUAAUAAUUUAUUUUUUAAAUAUUAAUAGUUGAUUAUUUAACUAUUAAUAUUUUAUUUGUAAUUUAAUCAUUAAUAUUAUAAAAUACUACUAUUUUAUUUAUAAUUUAAAUGUUAUUAUGAUUAUUUGUUUUUAUUUUAUUUUUUAAAUAUUAAUAAUUUAUAAUUGAUUGAAAAUAUUAAUAAUUGGUAAUUUAAUUUAUAAUUUAAAUAUUAUUAUGAUUAAAAUAUUAAUACUUUUAAUUAAUUUUUAAAUUCAAAAUAUUUUAUAAUAUAUAAUUAAUAACUUAACCUUUUUAUUAUNUAAAAUUAAUAUUUUAAAAUACAAUUUUAUUUAUAAUUUAAAUAUGUUAUAAUUAAAAUAUAAAAAUAAUUAAUAUUUUAUAUUUUAAUUUAAAAUAUUAAUUUUAUAAAUUUAAAUUUAUAAUUUUUAAAAAUAAAUAAUGACAUUUUAGUCCAAAAUGUAUAAAUUUUGUUUCCAUAGGUGUGGAAUAGCUAAUACCAUGGGGAUGGUGGUAUUAGCUAUUCCAAGCUUUUGCCUAAUUUUAAAGAAUAGUCAUUCCUUUUGGAAUGGCUAUUCCUUCCCCAAGAGCAAACCAAACAAGGGGAUAAAAUUUUGUAAGGAAUAAAAGGGGAAUGGCUUAGCCAUUCCACCUACCAAACAUGACCUAAAAGUUUCAACCCGACCGGACAUGAUAUUCCCAGAGAAAUGAUGAUCCAAUCAAUUUCUUACUAGUAAGUAUGAAGAUUUAGAUGAAGUGCUUGACUUUGACUUUUGUCGUUUGAAAAAUGUAAGAGAAACUAAGAAUUGAAAUGAUAUCAAAUUCGAUCCAACUUAAAUUCUAUAUAUAAUAAAUAUUUUUAAAAAUAAAUAAAUAAAAAAGAUAUAAAUAUUUGAGAUAACAUCUUCAAAUCAAAUAAAUUUAAUUUAAAGCUUUUUAUUUGUCUUAUUAAUGCUUAAAUUUAAAUGUAAAUUUCAUUUAUCCUAUAUCUCAUCAACCAAAACUAUUUACCAUUAUAUUAACACUAAAACUUAUCAUGGUUUUCUUUUUAUCAUUAUUAUUAUUAUUAUUAGAAGAAAUUUAGAUUAAAGUGGGUUCAAUUUAGAUUUGAUUCAUGGUAAGCAACUCUAGAGGAGAGGUAAGCAGGUUGUUUUUGUGGCUAAGAAUUGAUUGGGUUGCUUGGUUAGAGGUUCAUGAACCAAUCUGUUCUCAGCAGUGGAGCCUGAAUGCAAACUAUUCAACUUGUCAGCUUGUUCAAAUCAAAUUAUAGAUGAUUGGAGAAAUAUAAUUUACUUAAAUCAGAAUUCAAUCGCAUCUUGCCAUGUCAAGAUUCUGAAAUCUGUGUUGCUGCUGUUGGUUUAUGGAAACCUACAGGUAUAGCCUAACACAUUGCCUUUAGAAGUAACCCUAAAUGCUUACAAAAUGAUGACUAAAAGCUGUAAUCGGCCCCUGAUAAACCAACAUUACUGGACCCUAAUUCACUUAGACAGAUUCAAAUCAAUGCUCCGCAAUUGAUCCUCCCCAUCUCUUCACACGGCUUUCUGCUUCUUCAGCCUGCAUAGAAGAAGAAUGGUGUUCAAGAUUUGCUUUCAAUCCAACAAAUUAAAGAAACAUGAUUCAGGAUGAGAAACAGAGAGUGCUGAAGGGCAGGGAUUCUCACUUCCUUGUUCCAGUUGGUUAGUGAAGUAACAACUAUCAAGAUUAAGGUUUGCAAAACAAUGCCUCCGAUCAUUCCUGACCAAAUACCCUGCAAUUCAAAAGUAAUACCAAUAAAAAUGAAAUUCACCCGAAAGGUGAAAUCUACAUUAGACUGGCUUUCAUAGCAUAAGAAUCAACUAUUAGAACUACAAAGUCAAGCUGAUAGAAAGGUGGAUUUCUAUAUUCAAGUUCUGCAUAAAUUGUUUUUUCAACAAGUUGUAACAUGUCAGGAACCUUGGGAGAAUAGGCAUAGUAAGUUACCAUAACCCCAAAACCAAAUGUGAAUCCAAGGAGUAUCCCAGCCGGCAAUCCAACAAUAUAGUAACACCCAAUGUUGAUGUACGCAACAAGAGAUUGCCAUCCAGCUCCAACAGCAACACCUUAAGGAACCAAAUUGCGUAUUAACAAAGAGAAACUUCAUCCAGCAAAUUCUAGCAUAAUUCAGUGUUUCUUCAAGCUUCUACAUCUUAUACUUACCAGAUAAGACCGGUUGGAGGCUGUUUAAGAGUACCGUAAACCCCAAUAACAAUGAUAGCUCGGUAGUUUCUUCAGCAACAGCGUUACUGUUGGUGAAGAGGUAAGGGAAGUAAUCUUUCGUGGCAAACACCACAAUCAUGCAAACAACCCCUAUGCCCACAGAUGUGAUUGAAACAACUAGCACAGAAAAUUUUGCAAGCCAAGCAUUCCCAGCUCCAAGUUCAUUUGAUACUCUCACACUGAUAAGAGCAUGAAUUAGUAAGUUCUCAAUUCCAAUAUGGUUAUAAAAGUAAAUGACUUCCUGGAGACAGAGGAACAUAGAUUUUGAAAUCCCAGGAGUACAACUACAAGACUUCAAAAUUUUAAAUAAAUUUUUUCUGUUUCCAGUCAAUGGAAUUAAUCGAAUAUAUAAGAGGGAGAUGCGCACCUUAUAGCAGCGUUGAAACCGAUUGCAAUCAUUGCAUCCCAUCCAUUUAUGUUCAAGCUGGAAAAAGGAGAAAAUGAAAGCUCAGAAAAAGCAUUUAUCUCCUAAACUCUACAUUUCAUGAAAAUUAAAUACAUACUCAACCAAAUGAAAGUGAUGUCUUGGGUAACAAAACCAAAAAAAUCUAUAGUAGAUUAAGCAUUGAGUAAGAAGAGAUAACGAUACACCUACCAAAUGGAAAUGGCAUCAACUGGUAUCAGAGGGUUUGGUAGUCGACCUGUUAUGACAACCAGCACCAUUAAGUACCAAAAUUCCAAGCUGCAAUUCAUUUUCAACAACUGCUGUUAAUAUCAAAACUGAUACCAUGAUUUACACAAAACAUACACAGAGGGAGAAAAGAAACAUGCCAUAGCAUAACAGCAGAAGCCAAAGAAAGCUUGACAAAGCCAAAUAGAUCCGCAAAUGCUAGCCACGAGAAUCCACACCAUGCACCGUCAGACUUGGUAAUAAAGAUAUAUAACAACUGUCCGAUAACAAUGAGCCACCAUGAUGUAUUUAAAGUUAUUGCUGCUCCUAUUAGUCCCCAUCCGAGUUUUAAUAUCAGCAGCCAGCUGAAAAGAGCAUGUAGCACUAGUACGAUGGCUGAUACCCAAGCCAUUACCAUGACUUUCCUCUGAGCUUGUAAGAACUUCUGUAUAGGGAAGUUAAUAGCGUAAGCAAAUAACUGCGGCAGCAUCCACACAGCAAAUUUACCUGCACCAACAAGUUUAGGAUGUUACUGGAUCUCAUAUUCCCCAUCUUUUCAAAGUUCAGAUUUGAUUUUAGACAGAUUUUUGUCAAUUUUGUUUCAAGAAUAGAGCAAAAAUUCCAACCUGCAGCAUUGGAGAUUUCAGUGGUCUCUCCAAAGAGUUCAAGAAUGGGAGGUGACCAAAUGUAGACGGGAACCAAUAAGCAUGCUGUAGUGAACAAAAUAACCCAUGAUCUCUGCAUGUACACCCCCAACAUCCUUAUCCUCCCAGCACCAUAUGCUUGACCACAUAGCGUCUCCAAUGCGCUCCCCAUUCCCAACUGUCACAAAUUAUUCAACCAUGGAAAAGGAAACAUAAAAUUUCAUUUCCAAAAAUCAGUCCAUAUUUGGUAAAAUAUAGAGCUUUCUUACAAGCCUCAGUAACCUUCCUUUUGUUUUGGAUUCUUUCCAACUUUUGUAAACCAAAAACAAAAAAAAUCUUACCAAACCAAAACAGAAAGCUUUUUUAACGGACACAAAUGACAAAAACUUAAGCAAAACAAAUUACCAUGACACCGAAAGCAAGACCAGCUACGACAGAGUUCUCAACGGACACCGCAGCAAGAUCCAACUCACUAACAUGACCAGCAAACGUUUGCGUGAGUGCUCCCAAUGAGUACUGGCAAAUUGCUGUUAAUAUCGCCGGCCCUGCAAUAUGCCAUAACCUCUUGGACUCAUAUCCGAACUCCUUAACCCAUCUCACAGGCUUUUCUAUCUGGUUGCUGUCUGCGCCAUGAGUGUUGAGCAGUGGAGCACUCUCCAUAGCCAUAGCCGCUGUUCUAUGAAAGUUUGAACUGCCUAAUGAACUAAACUAAACGCUUACUGUAAAGGGUUUCUCUCUGUCUAGUAUUUAAGAUAAGAAUACCUUCAGAAUCUUUGAAUAUUUUCUUGUAUAGGAACAGACUGACUUGUAUGCUGCAAAAGGCCAAUAUGCUUUCGCCUCUGGUUGAACGAUUUGUUUGAAUGGUUGUUUAAGAGUUAAAAUAGCCCUCGUAGAGUUAUGACACGUUCGGGAACUGGUCCCAAAGGCCUUUAGAGUCACCGUCGGUUGCAGCUCUAAAUGGGGUUAAAGCUAGGUUGGCCGUCGAUAAUGCACAUGUUCGAUAAAUAAAGAUAUAUUAACUGUAUUUUGACCCAUUUACUUUUCCUGUUUUUCAUUCGUGCCCCUAUAGUUUUUCUUCUUCACAUUCUUCUUUUUUGCUUUCAAAUUAAUGUUGAAUUAAUCACAGUAGUUUCAACAGGGGGUUCGGAUUCUUAAUUCCUCCAUGCAAGUUUACUAAGAAUAGUGGUGACUACAGUAUUACUUAAUCCCGGUUAAUACAGUUUUAGUGUAGUAGAGUAUGUCGUUUUCCACCUUUGGGGUUAGAUUAUUUAGAGCUUUUCUGGUGGGGCAGACAAUGCUUCUCCUCUUGGGCCACGGGACUUAUAGCUUGCGUAUUGUCAAUGUGAAAGACCCUAAUAAGACUUUACUGGAAAUUGGGCAGCAAAUCUCAAGAGCUAAUACCCCAUAACCAUAUUACUUCUAGGCAGCAACUGUACCCCUACGAGAAUUCCUCAUUUGGUCUUGAAAUUUAGACAGUGGGACUUGCCCCUUUGUCCCUUCGGGUACAAAUGGAGCAGUGGUAGUUGGCAUUCCCCACGUGCCAGCCGCCGCUACUAUGGGAUCUAGAACGGCCAGCAACCGCUACUAUUGGAUCAAGAACGGCAAAUCAAGUGGUGUCGGUUGUUGUUCAAUUUUCAAAACCAAUUUUGCCUUAUAGAAUAAUAUGCUUAUAGAUUUCAAUCCAACAACACUUGCACAUCAACUUUAUGUUUAAAUUAAAGUGUUAGUGUGUUCCUUCACCUUUUACUUUAAUGCAAACGAUUCCCUUUGAUCACGUAAAAUCUCAACGGCAGUGCAUGCAUUCUCUCUGUUCAUUUUAGAGUUUUUAAGUGUCAGGUCUCAAAGGGUUAACUCUGUACUAGAGCUGAGGCAAAACCGUGAGGCCCAUCAAGAUAAUAGGUAGAGUCGUAGAGGAAGCAAGAGUAAUAUAAGAACAAGAUAGAAAUGAAAGAUAGUUUCUAUUUUCGAUUUGCAUAGAUAAAAUGAAGAUACAUUUUGAUUAAUGACAAUAAUAAAGGGUUAAUGAGCACACCUCCGAUGGGGGCUGCAUUAGUUGACCCAUUAAUAAAUACGUAAAUAAGUGGUACUACUUACAAGAAUUCUUCCGACAAGGCAAGGCACAACAUCCAGAAGAACACAGCUUUUUGCAUAAUAUUUUACAUGUUCCUGUCUUUUCUUCAUGGCAGCCACAUGACUGUCAUGGGUCUAAAUAAAUGACUUCUGCAUAUAUUGAGGCGCGCCGGAACCGCAGCAAUUCCUUCAUCAGCUCCCAUUCGCCAUCCUGGGAAGCAGGCUUAACAGUCAACCGCUCAAGGACUGGCGAAUUUGAAAGCAGGAACUUGAUGAAAUCCAUUUCCGAUUUAACACCGGAGAUGCCUGAUACUUUAACCAGUCUCAGAUGGGCAAACAGUGAGCUCCAAUGAUCAUCUUCCCAAAAGUUAGAGGAUCUUUCCACAGUAUUUUGUUCCUCUGGUCGAGCCUAUAAAAAACACCAUACUUUUACAAUCGCUAACCAACCUCUAAAGUCAGGAAUUAUUACAUGCAUUACCAUUUUAGAUCAACUGUAUAUCUAAAAACGUUUAUGUGAUAAAAAAGCAGGAGAUAUUGCUAUGUACAUCAACAUGAGAACCUAAGUGAGUAAAUAAACAAAACUCACCAACAUUUCCAGCUCUUGGAGAUUUGGACUACUUCUUAGGAGGCAUUGAGCAGCAAUAUUUUCCUCCAAAUCAUCAAAAUCUAUGCGAAUGGAUAGAUAAUUCAGAUCAACACAUGGGUUAGGCAACCUGCUUGGCACAUUUCCAAUAGCCAAAUACUGGAGCAAAAAAAGGAAGAACAACAGUGCAAAUUAGAAUCUCAUUUAGAUAAAUUAAGGUGACACAUUGACAUCCUUGAGAACUUGAACAAGUAAAUCAGGAUUCAAUAACCAAUUUAUGAAACUAACUUAUAAUACAGAAUCUAUGAUAUUUACAAAGAUCAGUAAAAAAAAUCUGAUUUUGGUGUUCGCAGAAUCCUACAUAGGUUGUAAAAAAGCAUAUAGAUUUCUAAAUGAUAAAGAAAACACAAUGCCACUCAAUUGAAAUCCCCAAGGAAACCAUCAAACUUGUUCAAUAUACAAGAAGAUACUAGUCUCUUCAAUGAUGCUCACUAAGCCAUUACCUUCAAAAAGUAACUCUGAACCUCCAGCCUUCGAAUAUGGGGCAGAUUAGCAAAGAAUCUGAGCAAUUUACUAGAGUUUUCUUCAGCAUCGUUGUCUUCAUCGUCGAUAUUCACAUACAAACCAAUGGAAACUAGAGAUAAAUGGACUGUAUUCUGAAAGCUAACAUCAUCAAAAAUACCUCCAAUGUCAAAGAAUUGCAGAUUUGGUGCAUCAAUGUUAAGAUGUGUGACACCAGUAAAGUUCAUCAAUGUUAAUCUCUCAAGCAGAGGGCAGCUAGAGAUGAGGUGUUCGAACACAUUUUGGAUGAUGGUAAUGUGCUGAAGAUCAAGGCUCCUCAAAUUCUUGAAACCUUUGAAUGUCAACGGAGGUUUUAGCAGGCAAUUAAAUAGCUCCAAAUGAAUCAAAUUCUGGCAAUUAAAUAAACAAGAAGGCGGCUUGUAGCGCUGGCCCUUCCAUAUUUCCAGUAUGAAUUCUUUGAUAGAGCUCCUCGAUAAACAAAGAAUCCAUCGAUCAAUGUCAGUGACUCCUAAAAGAUCUCGAUGAGAGAGUUUGAACUUGUGUAAUGGACCACUGUGAAGUAAGAGUACAUGGUCAAUAAUGUUUACAAGCUUGUUUUUUAUGAAAGUUUGGUCUUGGGAAGAGACAUUAAGACACUGAUUAUCAAAGACAAGAUACGGUAUUGUAGCCCAUUUGUAUCUCCACUUCCUUGACAGAACACUAGUCCUUACGGCAUCCCUUAUUGGCAAAUGUGACAAGAUUUGAUCAAUAACAUGUCCUGGUAAGUUGCUGAUCUUAUCUAGCUCUGCCUCUGUUUUGAUAGGCAAUCUUAGUGGCUCUCUUUGCUUCUGAAACACUCAUAAGGGACAGAACGAGCAAGUUAAUGAAAUAUUACAUACAGCAGUUAAUACUCAUAACAUAUUGGAGUUUCAAGCACAAACAUAACCAUACAACCAUAUGCAAAUAUAUUCCAUAAGAAGUGGCCAAGGAAACAGAUUUUAUGUCAAAUUGCACCUUUUCAAGUUAUGCAGUUAGUCAUUUAUUUAAACAAAUAGAUCCAAAGACAGAGUCUCUACAUGCUAAAGAUGGCAAGUAUGAAAAAGCAUCACUAAACCAAUUGAUGCACAUUUCUGAGCGCAUAUUGGCAUGUAAUAACAUAAAAAAGUAGCCAUGGCCAAACUUAGAAGGGUGUAUCUAGUCCUAUUACCCACUUCCCUCCAUUAGUUAAGCUUCAAUACAAAUCAAGAGUGUUGGAGAGUUUCAAAUACAAAUUUAAGCAAAUCAAAUCCUCAGUUCAGUACAUGGAAACAGAACAGCUAGUGAAAAUCUACUUCAAUUUCCGAAAUUUCACAACCUAUGAGAAUAAUCAAAGCAAUCACAUUGUUGCAAUGCAAAAAAAGGCUGGGACAGAGACAAAUAAAAGAAGCACUCACAGUUACAAUGCUCAUUCUGCUUAGCUAUUUGGGGAUUUCAGGCAUGCUUUUCAAUUCCCCAAAAGAACAUCCUAAGCCCGUCAAAGCCUUGUUUCAACUAAUCUACCAGCCGAAAUCUGAAAUAUUUAAACAAACAAAAAUGAUUGAAAUUAGUUCCAAAAGAUUCUUACAAUAGAAUAAAAAUCAAGGCCUUAAAUAACUUUAAAGUAAACAAUUGUGGACUAUAAAAUUAGAGAAAAAUAUUAAAUAUUGCUUUGAAGUUUGUAAUAUCCAAAAUAUGAAAUCAAAGAAUAAUACUAUAAAAUUAAAGCAUUUUUAAGCUUGGAAAAAUGGGUAAUCGCCAGAAAAAGAAAAUUCACUUUUCUGGGUACUACCCAAAACAGAAUUAUACAAAAGGGGGGGGGGGGGGGAGGAAUCUUCAUUACAUUGGAAUUUAAAUCAAAUUAGAUGUUCAGCUUAUACUGUUAUAAUAGGAAAUACGAAAAAUUGGGGAUGGAAUAAAGUAGGAGGAGAAAGGAAGGAUUAGAAUAACAAUGCAAGAAGAAAAGGGAAGGAUUAGAAUAAAAAUGGAAGAAGAAAAGGAAGGUCGUUACCUGAAGAAGAAGAAGCAGCGGGAGGAAAGAAAGUCAGCAAAUGCGACUUUGGUUCGAGACUUGGAAGAUAGGGGCCAGGGCUAGGGCUAGGGCUUAGGGGGCAAGCUCAAGUCAAGCCCCAAUGGCAGUGAGCUGCGCGGGUCGUUGUACUCUCGCACGUGCACUCCCCGUUCAUAUAUAUAAUAUGUAUCUGGACACGUACGUAACCAUCCAUCUUUGUUAACAGGGUCGGGUUACGUUUGUAAGUUAGCUCAACAAGAAAACAGUUUCGAUCUUUCAACCGUGUGCUGAGACGCCAAUCGAACAUCCAUGGUCUUGGCUCAGAAAACUCAGGGCGGUGAGCCGGUGACUCAAUUCAAUUGCAUGCAAUUUGGCUACGGCGGAGCUAGACCGGCCAUCUUCGGUAUCCUUCUGUCGACAUGUAAUUAGCUAUAUAUACACGUUUGUAUAUAUGUUACCAUUCGAUUAAUGGAUAUCUGUACGAGCGAGAGGGUUGCUUGUUGGAUUAUGGUACUGUGGUAUGGUCGUUGUCAACUUUGAUUAUAACUUUCAUAUUGUCAAAAACUCCCAACCUAACUCGUAGAGAAAAGUAGUCUUCAAAUAUGAGAGAUCCCCAUAGCCAUAACAUCGAAGAUUUCAGACGUUUGACUUUCUGAGUUUCCAUAUCUUCACCGCCAAAAGCCAAAAAUUUCCAUAUUUAUAUAAAUAUUACGUCUCUUUCUUGUAAGGUUUCCAAGUCAAGCGGUCGAGCUAGCUGCCUCCCUGCAGAUGCUGGUUAUGGUGAUCUUAUUCAAAAAGGAAAACGAUGGGAAAUUUCUAUACAAUAUUCCGAGCUGGUAAAGGGUAUGCGAGCUCCUUUGUAAUUAGAUAUUAUCAGUGUACUCUCUUCUCCUGACGAUAGUGGGAAUGAUGAAUGAUGAUUAUGUCUUUAUUUCGCAGAAGAAGAUCAAAAUGUCAGAGAAAACCAGUGGAUUCUUUCAACAACCCCGCCGGUACUCAUGAAGGAAUAAAGACAGUGGGAGCGGAUAAUCUUUGCGACUUCUCUACAGAUUCUAACCUCUGCAUUUGCAUAGUAACGUGGAACAUGAAUGGAAAGGUUGAAGUCGCAUCCUUUUCACUCUGCUGAUAUAUGUAUUCUGAAUUUGAUGUUGAUCAGUACUGUUCAUUAGUAUAUCAUAUCUUAUCCUCCUUUUUUAUGAAGGUUUCGUAUGAAGAUCUAGUCGAACUGGUUGGGAGCAACCGAAGGUUUGAUCUACUUGUGGUUGGUUUGCAAGAGGUGCCUCGAAACAAUCUUGCGAGAUUGUUGCAGGAUGCUCUAGUUGAAAGUCACGAGUAAGCAAAACCCUUUCUCUCUCCUUCCUUUUCCUUUUCUUCUGUUGAAGCAUUCUCUUGGUUGUUUCCCUCAGCAAGAACUCACUAUAUUGGCUUCGUUCAAGCAUAUGUUUUUUGACUGCCUUAAUUGUAGUAAAUCUUUAUCCACAAGAAACCAUAAAUGAUUGGUAGGUUUACAUUAUUUGCUUGUCAGGUUGUUAGGGAAGGCAAUUAUGCAGUCUCUGCAACUAUACGUGUUCGGACCAAAGAAUUCAGACCUGUUCACCAAAGGUAGACCCUGUCCUUGUGGUGUGAAGUUCAUUUUUUUUCCAUUGUCAAGACUAAGAUAGAGCUUAAAAUGGGAUAACUUAUCCCUUUUUCCAAUUCGGAGAUGUAGAACUUAAGGUGGAUAAGCAUUCUGUUGGAGGCUGUGGGGGAAUAAUCAGGAGAAAGAAAGGGGCAGUAGCAAUCCGCAUCAACUACAAAGGAUUCCGAAUGGUGUUUAUCACUUGCCAUCUCUCUGGUAAUCCCUGUUUUAUUCAAUUAUCUUCAAUAUCAAUAGGCAUUAAGCAGACAAAUGGAGUUUCGAUCCAAGUUUUCCUUGAAUUUUCUUGGCAAGAAGUCGACGUUUUGAUGAUUAUUUAUCACAAUCGGUGCCAACAAGAAGACCCAGCCUAAUAUAGUCUAUAAGUGUGAGAUCAAUUCAAGAUAGCAAAGUUGCUACAGAAAAUCCCAUUUAAAAAGCCCAUAAAUGCAAUAGAGCUACCCUUGGACCAAAGUUAGAGCCCAUAAAGAUUUGUGUAUCGAAUUUUCAUUCAAAGCCCGGAAAAAGUAUGGGCCACUGAUUGAUGUUGUCAUGCUCUCCUUGCAAAGCAGCUCAUGCUCGGAAUGUAGAAGAGAGAAACUCACAGUGCAGGCACAUAUCACACUCUCUCUUCUCCAAGUAUUGGAACCCUUACGCCAGGCCAGCCCAGAUCACAGUAUGGUUGGGAGAUCUCAAUUACAGGCUACAAGGCAUCAAUACACAUCCAGCCAGAAACUUAAUACAAAGAAACCUUCACGGAGUCAGUAGUAUAUCUUGCCCAUUUUUUCUCAACGUAUCUUUCAUUCAUUAGUCUUCAUCUGUUUUACUUUGUUGCCUGCUGCUACAGCUGCUCAAAAGCAAAGAUCAACUCCUGCAGGAGGCCGAAAGAGGGCAGAUUUUCAAUGGAUAUUGUGAGGGAACACUCACAUUCAAACCAACGUACAAGUACAAUAUAGGAAGCAGCAACUACGAUACAAGUUACAAGGUGCAUGCUCUCUGUCACAUUCACUCUUUAAAAAACAAAGGAUUCUUUACUAAGAUACCUUCCUAAUGAGAUUCAAUUAUUUUCCCCUCACCUCUCUAUGUUUCUUCUGCUUUUGACAGGUACGCGUUCCGUCAUGGACUGAUCGAAUCCUGUUUAAGAUCGAAGAUCCUGACAAAAUCAGCGCAAGUUUGCACUGUUACGAAUCGAUUGAUGACAUUUAUAGUUCUGACCAUAAGCCAGUGAGAGCCCAGCUUUGUCUCAAAGUCUGCAAAUAUUAGCUAGUAGUCACAACACCAACAGCAAAGUUCCUAGCGAAAGCAAAACAGAAAAUCCCACUACUUCUAUUUGAUCCUGUAAAUUUGCCCCACUAUUGCUUCACAUCAAACCAGUUCUGUUCUCUUUCUUUCAUGUUAACACUAGUGUCAUUGCAUAAUGCAGUCGAAAGGCUGCCCCAUGCUUAUUGUUUCACCUUAAAAAUCAAUUUUAUUAUUUAUUCAUUAAAAAAAUAAAUUAUUACAUCAAUUAUUGAUAUUUUAUUUAUUAAUUUAUGACAUAUAUCAUAAAUUUGGUCACAUUGUUCUUUGCCAAAAUUCUUUUAAGUUAAAUAUGUUAAUCUGUUUAAAGUCUACACUUGUCAUGUUUCUAUCAAAAAGAUAAAAUGUUUUAACUCUUGCAUUGAGAUAUUGACCUUAAAGCAAAACAAGUGGAUGUAGUUAAAUGAGAUGAACCAAAUCUAUUUAAAAAGCAUGUAUAAGUUUAUCACUCUCAAUAAUUAAAAUAAGCUCUAUUACAAUUUAUUAAUUGUUCUUAGACUUGAGAGAUUAAUAUAUUUUAUUUAGUAUCUAUAUGACUUUAAUGUUGUCAACAAGUAAUACCUAAUUUAAAAGUUAUAUCUUGAUAUGCUGGGUUAUGUACGUACUAAAUAAAUAAUAUUAAAUGUUUAAUAAAAGAUUCACCCUUCUUUAUUGAGAAAAAUAUUCAAGCGAUAUUCAUAUAAUUGUCGGACUCAUGAAAUCCGACCAAUAUGUUUUUUAAAAGCAGUUUUAGAAUUAUAUUAUUUGCAUUAAUAUUAUACAUUAAUGUUUUUGAAGAAAAAUAUUUUUUUAAGUCCAACAGAAAUGAUAAUCAUGAAUAGAUAUUACAUGGGUUGAAUAUAACCAUGGAAAUUAUUUAUCCACAAAACUCAUGAGGAAUAUGAAAUGGUGAAAAGAUUAAUUAGUAAAAAUUGUAAUGAAAGUGACCUCAUGGAUUAUUCUUUUUUCUGCAUAAGUCUAUUGCAAUGUUGAUGGAUAUUAUUGUAAUUAAUGAGUAAAUAAGAUUUCUUAAUUAAUUUAAAAAACUAAAUGAUAAUAUUAAAUUAAAUAAAAUUUUAAGUAAAAUAUUAGUAGAUGACAUGGGCUUGGACUAAUAGUUGUAAAGAAAGAUCUCUAAGGAUUUCACGCAUAUUCUUCUUUUGAAUUUUAUAUUUAAAUCUUAUUGGACUAUAAAUCUAUGAUUAAGUUUAAUGGAUGAAAGUCCAUUAGUAUAUCUAUAAAACUAAGGGUUGUUACUUCAUAAGUCAUCCAAAUUAAUUAACAACAGUUUUUAGAAAAAAAAAUAACCUUAGGAAAAGAAAAGCCCGAAUCUCCUUUAACUUUUAAAAUACCUUUCAGAAUUAACGUAUUUAAAUUAUUUUUAAAAUGUGAAUAUCUUAAUCUAUAAUUUUUUUGUGAUAAAUUUUGUACUUUUAUAUUAAAUGACAAUUGUUGUUAUUAAAUUAUAAAUAAAAAAUUCACAUUUCUUAUAGACAAAGACACUAACAUGAAACCACUGUUGAAUUUGUAAUUUGUAUGCAUGUAUUUGUUUUCCUAUAUUCAAGCUUUCAUGUCAGCUCUCAAUGUAUUGACCAAAACCAGGUGACUCAACCCACAAUCCAAUGAUGGUCAAUUCAUUGUAUGAUGAAGCCUUUGCAAUCUUCUUAUGCAACGCGUCUGCAAAUUGGGUUAGAGACCAAAAUUUCGGUUUCACAUUUGAGAAGAAGUGGUCAACUACUGGUAUAGAUCUCUAGAAGGCCAUUUUGCCAUUUAAAAACAAAGGGUUUGGCAGGCUCAUUAGACACUUCCCUCUAAACCCUUUUCUUGUGGAGCCUACGGUUUUGGAGUUUGGGACAUGUCACAGUGGUUUUUACAUGUGAACUUCAAACCAAACCAGACAACAACAAAAAAAAAAGAGAGACAUAUCUGCCUAUAUGGGAAAGACAUUAGCUUAGGGAUAGCCUCAACCAAAGCCAUCUUUGUUGACAUUGACUUGCUAGCAACCACUGCUUGCAACUCAAACAAGAAUAUGCAGUGUUUUUUCUUUUAAUUUCAGUAGUCUAGAUUAACCUAAUAUCAUUUCCAUUUACAUGUUUAAUAAAAGAAAUUGCAGUCAUAAAGGCAUCAUUACUCAUUGUUUAAUCUAUAAAUGAAUUUACAAGCUAAUUAGUUUAGUAAUCCAUAGCAGUAAAUGCAGCAAUUAAACUCAAAAGUUGAUUUGUUUGACCAAAGAUAGAAGUCACCAAUGUAUAACAAUCCUUUUUUGGGGGGGGAUAAGGGGAGAUUUGAAUCAUCUUUAUCUGAAUUUUAUGAUGGUAAUGAUAAAAACCUUUGCAAUCAUAUCCAAUUAUGUGUCAUCUGCAAAGAAUGUUUCAAAGACAAGUCAUUAUAAUUAUAAUAUUUUUCUAACAAAUUAUAAUAAUAUAUAUAAAUCCCAUAUUGUCACUUUCUAUUGUAUACAUUCAAUUAUAUCUAAAUUAACAUUGUGCAUGUGGCCAUAUAAUAAAAUGAAGAGCCAUGCACAAAUGUUAAAGAGAUUUUAAGGGAGAUUGAUUGUUAGACAGAAAGAGAAAGAGGAGAGAAAAUUUUUUGUUGUGGGUUGGAACUUUUUCAAUCACUUUGUGAGUCAUUAGAUAUUCCCUUUUUUUAAAACCCUUUUUGCAAGCUAGUGGAACUGGAAUCUUUACCAAAGAGUUUAUUCUUUUUUUCUUUUUCUUUUUCCUUUUUUUCCCCCAUUUUUAUUUAAUUUUUUAUAUUUUAAAUGAUCUCGGUCUCUUCGACAUCCUAAGAUCAGUUAUUCGCCCCUUUUAGUCUUCUAAACUUUUGAUCUGUUAGCAACUUUGAACAGGAUAAGCCAAGCCAAAGCGGUAGUACCAAAAAAAGAAAACAGUUAAAUUUUAUUAAAAAAAUCACUUUUUUGUUUUUUUUUUCACUUUUUUUUACCCUUUAAACAAAGAAAGCUUGCUCCUUUUUGUUGAGCGGGGUCUUCUAGUGGAAGAAUUAGAAGAACCCCACAUGUAAAGAUUAAAGCUUUCUAAAUUUUAGGAGGGGAAAGAAGAAAGAGUGAAUGAAAUGCCCAAUUGGGUUUGAUGAAUCUUCGUCAAUCCCUUUGGCGUUAUGACAAAAAUUCUUCAAAGUUGUACGCUUGCUUCAUGUUUGACUUUGAAUUUGCGUACAGUUGAAGAACACCUGUAUUCUUAGCUUAUUUGUCUUCCUAUUUCUUACCACGUUAAACAAAAUUCCCCAGCUUUUGUUUUUUAUAUUUCAAAUUUAUUUUUGAGGGUUGUAGGUGUGAUAGAUUCUUCUUUGGAGUCAAAAGAAUAAAAGGUGUCACUGUUCUUCCUUGUUCUUUGUCUUCUUCAAUAGAUUAUUCAUUCUCAUACACAAAAAAGAGAGAAAAGAAAAAAGGAAAGAAGAAAAGGGUGAGAGGGGGAAUAUAUAGCUUUAUACAGACUGGAAAAAUUGAAACUUUUUUGGUUAAUUUGGAGAUCUUGUCUGAUCUAGUUCUCUUCUGCAGUCUUCUUCCACCCUUUGCUGCAGGAUUUUGGUUUGUUUGAGGUGAGUUAUUUCUCCACUUGUUUGAUUCUUUACCUUUUGUUCUUUAUGAACCUGCAAUUCAGUCGUUAUAUGUCAUGAAUUUUAUGGGCAUCCUGAGCUGGAAAGAAUCUGUUUUCCGUUGUUUCUUCUCCUUCUCUUUCUUUCUACCUCUCUUUAUAUUCACUUGGUCUGGAGAGAAUUUUGAUGCUUUGCACUCAUUUUUAGCUUAAGCAUUCUGGCUUAGCAGAAUGCCAGGUGGGUGAUUUUGAUUGCUAAUUGUUUAUCCUGGUUUGACUUGCUUGCAUUGAAUGACAAAUGCAGCUGAACUGAUAUAAUAUAACCUAUAGUAGGCAGUUUUUGUUUGAUGUCUAUAUGUAUGAACCGCUGUUAUUAAACAGAAAAUAGUUUAACUGCCUAGCCUAUCGAGUCUCGUUAGCAUUCUUCUCUUCUAGGCUGCUUAUGAUCCACUAUGAUUAUAUUCUUUAGGAACCGGUUUUGGCUCGAUAAAAUGACUGUUACUUGGUAUUUUCCCCUUUAUGUUAUUUGCUGCGUUUUAAUCUUCUACAUUAGAAUGGUGAAGCUUCUGUCAAGCUUUGUUGAUUGAUGAUUUUUCAGUUAAAAGUAUACAUUUCUUCCUUUUAUCUAAGCAUGAUUUGUGUAACUUUCUUCGUUUUGGCCUUCUGAAUUUACUGAAUUUGUUUUUAAAUUUAUUUAGAGUUUGCAAUAUCUGUUUGUUGAUUAGCAUGAAUGUAUGUUCUAUUUGCAGGUGGAAACCUUGUUUACCAUGAGCAGAUAACGUUCUGCAUUAUGGAUUGGAUUAAAAAAAUAUUUAAAGGCUGUGCCCAUAAAUUUUCAGAGGGGCAUCAUCAUGGAAAUUAUGUGGAGGAUCCUCAUCCCCAAUUUAAUGCUCCUUCUGUCUCAGGGGUAUUUAUAUCUGUGACUGUUUCUCCAUUUCUCUUUCCAUAUUGCUAUUUAUGUGUUCUCAACUUUUUGUAUGAUUUGAUCCCAUCCUACUCCCUGCAAUGCUACUGGUAGGAUAUACAUAAGGUCUUAUCACUUGAUGGAUUUGGCUAGGUUGUGUAGUAGACAUGUUACAAAUUAGAUUAUGAAGCAUUGGUUCUAAAGGAUACUUUCUUAUACAAAUAAAUCAUUGGACUAUUUGAGUUAGUCUAAUUAGCUUCUAAGGUGUUUCCUAUGUCACAUCUUGGUCUCAACAAUGAAUGUAGGAUGCAUGGCAGGAGCUGGAGAAUGAAGAUGUAGAUCGUGCUAUUGCCCUAUCCCUGCUAGGGGAAAGUCAGAAAGGGAGAAAGGUAAUAGGUGAGUAGCAUGUCUACCUGAUGUUACCAUGAAUGUUCUUGUCAGCUGUACUUUAUGAUAUCAACCAAUUAUUUUCUAAUAAAAUGAAUUGAGAUUUUUUUUAUAUUACCAUCCAAUUGUAAUUCUUUUUCUUCCUUACUUUUCCUUAUAAUCUUAAGUUUCUCAAAUUAUUGGGUAGAUGAUGAAUAUCAACUAGAGGAAGAUGAGCAACUUGCUAGAGCCUUACAAGAAAGCUUGAACUUUGAACCUCCUCCCCAGUAUGAAAAUGCAAAUAUGUAUCAACCUAUGCCAGUCCAUUUUCCGAUGGGAUACAGGUAUAUGAAUAUGUCAUUAGCUGCAAUAUCUAUCUCAUACCGGCUCAAUUAAUCAGGGCUUAAAUAUUGAUUUAUCUUUGAGCUUUUUUCUUGCGAAUGUAUGAUGAUAAUGGCUUUUCUUGGCAUCAAUUAUGCUGCAUUGUAUAAAAAAUUUGUUGCUACAUUAUAUAGCCUGAUCCUUUUUGCUCCCAUGAUCAAAUAUUUCAUUUUUGGUAGGAUAUGUGCUGGUUGCAAUACUGAGAUUGGUCAUGGAAGAUUUCUAAAUUGCCUGAAUGCAUUUUGGCAUCCAGAAUGUUUCCGUUGCCAUGCCUGCAACCUUCCAAUUUCUGAUUAUGAGGUACAAAUUUACAUUCUUAGUAGACUUUUUGGUGGCUAUUAAUGUUGCUGUCUUAAGUUCCUUCAUUAGAUGUUUUGAGAUAUGAAUAAGCUAACUUUAAUGCAUACUUUCUUCUGUAGUUCUCUAUGUCUGGGAAUUAUCGUUUUCAUAAAUCUUGCUACAAGGAGCGGUACCAUCCUAAAUGUGAUGUCUGCAACGACUUUGUAAGCUUUUUUCCCUUGCAUCAGGCUUAUGUUAUCUAAUAUGAAUUUGUGCUGUUGGUACUCCAUUCAAUGCAUAAACAUUUAUGGCAGGAUUAUUUGUGAUUUGGUGCAUGUUUCAGUGCAUAUAUAUAUAUUUCAAAUGAAUGUCAAUAACAAUCUUAUAGUAAUACCGAAUCAUGAGUGUGUUUCUUAUGUUAUCCAGUUUUUCUUACCUAAUAAUGAAUUUCAAGUGCUAAAUAAACCAAAAUCCUGAAGGUCACACAAGUAAAUAUAAGUGUCAUCUGAAUAGAGUCUUAUGCAGAUAUGAUGGCAAAAAGCAUAGUGUAUAGUUAAUGCCCUUGGAUGCAGUUUCAUGUUUCAACAUCUGAAUGCAUAUCAUGGGAAACCUCUAUAUGCAUAUCAUGUUCAUAUCUUAUAUUAUAUACUGUUUUUUAUGUGGUUUUGAAACAGAAGAAAGUAAAUCUUCUAUUUCUUAUGCACAUCACUCAUUGCUAGUUGGUGUUGUCUUCUGGGAUAUAUACUUUUGACAGAUUCCAACAAACCCUGCUGGUCUUAUUGAAUAUAGGGCACAUCCUUUUUGGAUCCAGAAGUACUGCCCUUCUCAUGAACAUGACGGUACUCCACGGUGCUGCAGCUGUGAGCGAAUGGAGGUGAGUAUGAUGAAAUACAUGCAUCUUUGUAAGCUUACUUAAGUUUCCUAAGUUAAAUCUUGGCUACUAUUUCUGAAGAAGAAAAGAGAAAAGGUUGAGAAAGUAUGACACAUUUCCUCCUAAUAUGCAGCCACAAGACACAGGAUAUGUUGCCCUUAAUGAUGGACGGAAGCUCUGCCUAGAGUGUCUGGACUCUGCAGUUAUGGAUACCAAGCAAUGCCAACCCCUUUAUCUGGAUAUACUAGAAUUUUAUGAAGGUUUAAAUAUGAAAGUGGAGCAGCAAGUUCCAUUACUCCUGGUUGAAAGGCAAGCUUUGAAUGAAGCCAGAGAGGGAGAAAAGAAUGUAAGGGCAAAAAUGCUUAAAGAAUGACAUAAAUCAUAAUUUCUAAGACGUUUUUCCUUUGCAAUAUCAUAUGUUGACGCAACAUCUUUUCAGUCAUGUCUGACUGAUGUUGAAAAAAUAUAGGCUUACUUCUGCUUCUAGAUGUCAUGGAAAUACCAUGUAGAAUGAUUUAAUGUUUGGUCACUUCUUUAUAUUCUACAAUUGUGUUCUAAAAUGUUGUCUUGGGCAGGGCCAUUAUCAUAUGCCAGAGACUAGAGGACUCUGCCUCUCUGAGGAACAAACUGUCAGCACUGUAAGAAUAUUUAAAAUUCUCUUUUGCUUUAAUGUAUGAUAACUUGAAAAUUUUCAUUAGUAGUUUUUGUAUUGCUCAGAGAUUCAUACUAUCUUCAACCUGAAAUCAUCAGAUUCUAAGGCAACCAAGAUUUGGGACAGGAAAUCGAGCCAUGGACAUGAUAACAGAGCCCUGCAAACUGACACGUCGAUGUGAGGUGACUGCGAUCCUCAUUUUAUAUGGCCUGCCAAGGUAUUGUAUUGCUUGUCAUGAUUGCUUUUACAUAUGCAUUAAUAGGUCCCCAUGUAAUCAAACAAUUUUUUAUAACAUACAAAUAGAGACUCAGUACAAGUUAAUUAGAUGCAGAAGAUGGAACAAAGGAGAUAUUUAUGUUACUUGCUUAGCACAUAGCAAUUUCAUGUUUUUUUUUAUCUUAUUAAUCCACAGAAACAAUGAGGGGAAAAGGUGAAAAAUGGUCUAGAUCAGUUUAAUUAAUCAUAACUACUUCAGUCAUGUAUGCCUUAAUUCUUAAACAGGCUUGACGAGCAGGCAGCCCCCAAGAUGAAGAUACAUAAAAUGUUGCUGUCGGGUUCUAUAGUCAUUACAUGUCUAUGGUUUUAAAAGCAAUGGAGUAAUUGAAUCAAGGGUAAAAGAGAAAAGAAAAAAAGGAUGGAGUCUAUGGGGAUUGAAUGAAAGAAUUGUAGUCCUGAUAGCCUCUUCUUUGUCUUAUAAAGACCUAAAUGCUCUUUUUGCAAACCUGGCAUAUUUGUAGCAGAUGAUGCUAGCUUUGAUGUUGCUCUUAAAUCUGCUAGUUUAAACAAUGCUGAUGUAUUUGAUGCAAAAUCAAAAUUUUUGACCAUGUAGGUUACUAACGGGGUCAAUCUUAGCCCAUGAGAUGAUGCAUGCAUGGAUGCGACUUCAAGGUUCUUCCUCUUUCCUUCAUAAUAUGUAGAAAAAAUCGUUUCUUUUUCCCCCAUAUGGAAGACAUUGACAUAUAUGGUUAUUGUUUGCUAGGUUUCCGGACUCUUAGUCAGGAUGUUGAGGAGGGUAUUUGUCAGGUGUUAGCACACAUGUGGUUACUUAGCAAACUCGAAUAUGCUUCAAGCAGCAAUGUUGCAUCAGCUUCAUCCUCUGCUUCUAGUAGAUUACAAAAGGGCAAAAGACCUCAAUUUGAGGGGAAGCUUGGGGAGUUCUUCAAGCACCAAAUUGAAUCAGACACUUCCCCUGUGUAUGGAGAUGGUUUCAGAGCAGGCCAUCAGGCAGUUUAUAAAUAUGGUCUUAGAAGAACCCUUGAACAUAUUCGGAUGACUGGGAGGUUCCCUUACUGAAAUCCCAAGUCCCAAAAUUCCCAAAAACAUGCUUCCCUAUUCUUUCAAAGAGUUAAAAGCUGGGCCUUUUCCUAUUAGAACCAAAGGCCCCAACCACAUAGGAUCAUAUCUCCACAGAGUAGAUUUUAGAAGAACUACCGAUGUUCAUUCCUUGUGGCUCUCAGUGCCACCCUUCAUUUUUAUAAAUUUUUAGUUUUUAAAACUCGUGCUCAUUAAAUCUCUUUCAUUUUAAGGUAAAUUUCAUUUCAUGUAUAAUUGCAAUAAAAAUAAUCAAAAUCACAAUAUGACAUCUUUUUAUUGCUUGUUUCCAAGGAAUUAAAUUUUCUGAAGUAAGUUCCACUCAACAAUUGGCUUGACUUCUAAAAUUAGUCAGAAUUUACAGAACUGUAUCUUAUAUAGUAAAAUAAACUUACAAUGGCUGCUAUGAAAAUAGGUCUGCCCGAAUUUUGGACAGAACUGACACUACAUCCUCCAUGCUUGGUCUCCUUGUUGGUUCUUCUGUCAAGCAGGCUACACUUAAUUGAGCCAUCCGAAGUGCAAAUUCUGUCCGAUUAUCAGAUUUUAGCCUAGGAUCGAUGAGGGAAUCGAGCUCAGCUUCUGCAUUGUCUUUUUCCAUCAUGGAAACAACUGUUGCUGACAGCAGUAUUUCUCUUCCAUCUUGUGUAAUGAUGGCAUCUUUGCCAGUAAUCAGUUCCAACAGCAAAACUCCAAAAGCAUAGACAUCAAUGUUGGAAGUAACCUGCCCUGUCUGUACAUGCUCAGGUGCCAUAUAACCUCUGGUCCCAACAACACGUGUUGUCUGAGCAACGCUGCUUGUUUCGUGGACCACCGCUCUCGCGAGGCUGAAGUUUGUAAUUUUGGCCCUUAGACCACCGUUUAGCAGAACAUUGCUGCUCUUAAUGUCGCCGUGCACAUAGGCAGGUUUGGUAAAACUGUGAAGAUAGUGAAGUCCAUAAGCAACAUCCAAAGCAAUCUGAAUCCUCUUCGUCCAGCUCCCAGUCUCAUCGGGGCUUUGAUUGCAAAGCCAAUCCCUUAGAGACCCUUCUUUCAUAUAUUCAAAAACAAGAUAGAAAGAGCCACCAUUUUCACAGACACCUUGAAGCUUUAUCAAAUUGAAAUGAUUGAUAUUCUUCAGCAGUUGUACCUCCUUAGAUACGUCUAGUCUCAUUCUUUUCACAGCCAGGAUCUUCCCACCAAAACCACCGCGGUAAACAGAACCGCUUAUUCUGUUCAUGGAACUGAAAUUUUGUGUGGCUUUCUUUAUCUCCUCAAAUGCAAAAACUCUCAAGCCUUGGUCAAAGCUUGCAAUUUCAACUCGGAGGUCUUCUGACAAUACAUGAUUGAUCUUCGUUCUUUCAUGGCCACUCCGAGGAACUCCAUCCUUUCUCUUAUUGAACAUAAAGAUGGUGAACAGGAUGAUGAUAAGAACCAGCAUAGAACAAGCUGCUGCGAUUAUAAGCCCCUCAUACAAUUUCCUCUUUGAUCUAUGUCUUUCAGGAUAUUUUACAAUUGGAGGUGAAUCAUGCGGUUGGUCCUUGUGAAUUAUGGUUUGUGAACUUGAAGGUUUCGUUGGCAAAGGAAUUAGGAUUGUUGUGGAAGGGAAAAUAGUUUGUUUUUCUUCCAAACCAUUUGCAUCAUCAAUGCUCUUUCUGCUCACAUUGAACCUAUCACUGAUGUCUGGAAUAUUAUCCCCCAAGCUAAUAGAGUAAGUCAGCAGAUACUUUGUUCCACCUUUAAUCUGAUACCUUGUUGGACAAGCACAUCGAAGUGGAACUUUCAAUUCAUUUCCAGGAACCAAUUUGUAUUCACUAUGUGGAUUUGCACGUUUAAGGGAGCUACAUGUGGAUAAUCCCUGGUAUGCCUUGGUUCCUAUAGUAUGAUAGGUGCCGUAAAUGCUUGAAAUGUGAAACUUGGUGUUUGCCUGAUAAUACCGGCCUAAACAAGAACAAUUUACAGGAAUGAUUACCUCUUUACCAGUUGGGAACUCCGCAUGCCGUGUUACAUUAUUGAUGGUAGCAAGCUCUGCCGGGUUCGAAGAUGUGAAAGCUGAAAUGCUGGGAACUGUGUCAAAAGGAGGUUGAGACUUGUAGAUAAGAAAGGCCUGGCAAUAUCGCACUUGGCCAUUGCAAGUGUAAAGAAACGCUGAAGAAGGACCUGAUUCAUCAUUGUUACUGCAACCCAACGCUGAAUUCCCUGAGUAGUUUUGUUGAGCAGUUAUGUAUAAAGUGAAAACAUUGAGUAAGAGGAAGCAGAAAAGGAACUGAUUCAUGGUGAAAGUCAAGACGAAACAAUUUGCGGAUUGGAGAAUAUGAAUUUGAAGGAUGCUAGCUGCUGCCUGCUGCCUGCUGGGAUUAAUGUUGGGAUAAACGCGUUUAAGGAUUAUAAAAUAUUGCAGUAAAUCAGAGUUUGUUGACUCAAACAGCAACUCCUUACGUAGGCUACAAAAAUGUGUAAUUUCCUCAGGAGGUGCUUCAUUAGUUUAAUGAUCCUACUUGCAAAAAUACAAAGAAUGACUCAACGUUUUUUACCCAAAUUUUUACGUUCAAUAACAAACGAUUUCUUUCUUUUUCAAAGGAAAAUUCUUAAGACCCCACUUCCAUUAGUUUAGUCUCAAGUUUAUCUAAAUAUAUGCUGGCCCGUGAUACAAGCUUGUUUGCUGUAGUAUUCCUGGACUGUCAUAACAUUUGACUGCAUACCUCCUGAACAAACCCGUGAAUCCAAGCCUUGCCACCCCUAUCAAAGGUUUUUGAGCUACCCCCAGAUUUGGAUAAUCAACUCAAUGUCUCCUUUUGUUAUAUAAUUUUGUUUGAUCUGAGGUUAGGCUUCACGAUUUUAUUAGACAGUAAUCAUACAUUAAUUAUUAAAUCAAAUGUUCAGGUGCGAUUUAUACUUAUAACUCACAGUCUAAUUCUUGAUUAUCAACAAAGUGGGAUUUUCCCACAACAAUUAUGAAUGAUUGAAAAUCGAAUUCAUGUAUAUCUUUGUCUAUUAUUUUCCAGCAUAAUUGAAGCUUACAAGGACCGUUGCCUUGCUUGGUUUACGGGGCUGGGCCCGUCUGGGUGUGGAAAUGAAGGAAGAUACAAGACCUUGGUUAUUCUUGACCCUAGUCAAGUCUCUCGUUAAACCAUGACUGAACAGGCAAACUACCAAUUUUGUCUACAAGUUUAGAACAGAUAUAUUUGUUUUAUCAUUCACACUUUUUUAUUGAUUGAAUUUGAUACUAGUGACAAUACAGAGAAAGCCUUGACCAUGGUAUUACUGCCAAAAGGCUUAAAAAGCACUUAAAACACUGAUGAACCCACUACCCACAAAGAAACAAACAUGGAAAGUAAAUUAACAAGAUUUCUCCAUACAUAAUUUCAAUGGAAAAACGUAGGGACGUUCAGCUGCUAGUGCCUGGUAGAACACAUAUAUGAAUAGACUCUACUUACACUACUUUUUUCUAUGGUUCACCUCUCAUCAUUUGUUGAAAUUCAUGGAAGUCAAGCACUCCAUUGCCAUCAAGAUCAAACACUCGAAUCAUGGCAACGCACUCUUCAUACGAUUUCACAUCCCCUAGACGGUUAAGCAUCUGCUGCAAACCUACCGGCGUGAUGCACCCACAGCCUUUGUCAACCUCGUACAUCUCGAACGCUCUUUUAAUAUCAUCGUCACCCUCAUUGCCUCCUUCCAUCAACUUGACGAAGUCAUUGAAUUCCAACCGGUUGUCGCCAUUGUUGUCGAAAUCUUUGAUGACCCUUUGAGCUUCCUGUCUUGAUACGUAGUCGCCUAUGGAGGCGAAGUAAGCACUGAGUUCCUCGCUCGAAAUCUUACCAUCUCCGUCACUAUCAAAACGACGAAAGACAACUUGAAGAUCUUCUUCUUUCGUACUGAUAUUAGGUGUUGGUGGACGAAUUACAGUUGGUGAUGGCAAGGAGCUUGAGGAUUUGGAUUUCGAGCGAAGUCGAGGAAAGCUUAACCUUAAACUCUUGUUGGAGAACCAUUUAAUAGGCUUGGAAAUACUAGCAAUUUCCAUUGGAAACUACUUUGUUCAGGAGGAAUAACUUGAGCUAAGGAUAAACUCUAUAAUAUGUAUAUUAUAUAUACUAGCGAAAAGAAUAGUUUGGUCAGAAAUUUACCCUGGGAUUUUCACAUUGCUAUGCAAUUUGUAAACAGAGUUACAAAGGGGAACAUCUAGUCUUGCGUAGAAGUUGCGCUGAUUGGAAGACUAAAGAGGCCGAAGUUGCUACGCAGCUUCUUUGCCUUCUAGGGAGGGGCCAAACUACUGACCUUCGUACAAAUUGUAUUAAUUCCUUUUGGAAAGUGACUGAGAAAAUAUGGAAAAAGUGGGAAACUUUUUUCCUUCCUUUUGGCCUUAAUAAUGGUGAAUAUCAACCAAUGACUUUGAAGGAUUAUUGACUUUUCACCCUUUUCAUUUGUCUCUAACUGCUUUCGUUGAUACUUCCGCCUCUUCAAAAUCUGAUUGCACCUAGAUGAACCGCUGAGCCUGAGGUACAUAGAAAAUGGCAAUGGAAAGUGCGAGAUUGUGGUAUUGGCAGAGUUCAUGAACCCCGGCAGCCUUCCGGUCCGGACUUGCUGGAAACGUAUUUAUACAUAUGUUGUCCCCAUAAGGGGGAAAAAGAUUCAAUGUCACCUUCAAGAAAAUGAAAUGGCGGGAGGAACCUUUCCAUCCUCAACAGCUCAAAAGCUUGGAGCUGGGGUGGUAGUGGCAGGGUAUUCUAAGUAAUUACUCAAUGACUGCCACAGAAAUGAGUCCGUGAAAGUUCAGUCACUAGUCUUUGGCAAAAUCUUUGUGCCCGGAUUGAAACCUGUUAGAACAAGACCAGGCAUUGUGACGAGCUGAGCAACCACGAAAAUUCAAGUGAGUUUCCACUUGACAGAGACAGGACAUUGACAAUCGAAGUACAACCGGAGUUUAUGUUGGAUUCGAUGUCCUCAUACCAUGUCCGCUAACAGCAAUGGAUAGCCAAGAAAUCGGCCCAAUGAAAAGCCCAUUCCUUUCCUAUUAAACGGGCCAUAUUAACCCAAUUCAAGUUUCAAGUCUUCAACUACAGUGUCGAAUGCCCCCAUCUCUUCCCUUUCAACUGCAGAGUCGGCAUGGAAAUUGAAGCAUUUCCUCGCCGCAAAAGUUUUCAUGCUCCAAGUCAAAACCUUGGCAUGCAAUUUUUGAUUCUUCUCCAACGGCCGGAAAUGCCGAUUGUUUCAUAACUGAGAAGAUUAAACCCAAUGCUCAGGUACUUUCGGCUCCACGCUCCUUCACUGCACUCUUAUGUCCACCGCCCGCUCCAAUCCUUCCACGCGUCCUCUCCACUCCACUGGAAACUCCGGGAAGAAUUCAAUAUCACCCGACCCGACCUUAUCUCCCGGAUCACCCGACUCCUCAUCCUAGGCCGUUACAACGCCCUCAACGACCUCUCUUUCGACUUCUCCAAUGAACUCCUCGAUUCCGUUCUCCGAAGCCUCAAACUAAACCCCAACGCUUCCUUCUAUUUCUUCAAAUUAGCUUCGAAGCAACAAAAAUUCCGACCAGACAUCACGUCGUAUUGCAUAGUCGUCCACAUCUUGUCUCGAGCUCGCAUGUAUGAUGAAACCAGAGCUCAUUUAUCCGAAUUGGUCGGUUUAUGUAAGAACAAGCACUCUUCUUUUUUAGUUUGGAAUGAGCUCGUCAGAGUUUAUAAGGAAUUUAAAUUUUCUCCCUUGGUUUUCGAUAUGUUAUUGAAAAUUUAUGCUGAAAAAGGGUUGAUUAAAAAUGCUUUGAAUGUGUUUGAUAAUAUGGGAAAGUACGGUCGUGUCCCCAGUUUAAGAUCAUGUAAUUGUUUGUUGAGUAAUUUGGUUAAGAAUGGGGAAAGUCAUACGGCUGUACUUGUUUAUGAGCAGAUGAUCAGGAUUGGGAUCGUGCCAGAUGUUUUUACGUGUUCGAUAAUUGUUAAUGCGUAUUGUAAAGAAGGGAGAGCGGAGAGAGCAGUGGAAUUUGUUAGAGAAAUGGAGAAUUCAGGUUUUGAGUUGAAUGUGGUUAGUUAUAAUAGUUUGAUUGAUGGGUUUGUUGGUUUGGGAGAUAUGGAGGGAGCGAAAAGAGUGUUUAAGUUGAUGUUUGAGAAAGGGAUUUCGAGGAAUGUGGUUACCUAUACAAUGUUGAUCAAGGGUUAUUGUAAACAACGUCAGAUGGAGGAAGCAGAGAAGGUGGUUAAAGAGAUGGAGGAGGAGUUGAUGGUUGCGGAUGAAUUUGCUUAUGGUGUGCUGUUAGAUGGUUAUUGUCAAGUUGGUAAAAUGGAUAAUGCUAUAAGGAUUCAGGAAGAGAUGCUGAAAAUGGGGUUGAAGAUGAAUUUGUUUGUUUGCAAUUCGUUGAUCAACGGGUAUUGUAAGUUUGGUCAAACUCAUGAGGCAGAGAGAGUGUUGAUGUGUAUGAGUGGUUGGAACAUAAAGCCGGAUUCAUUUUGUUAUAAUACUCUUGUGGAUGGGUAUUGUAGAAUGGGCCAUAUGAGUGAGGCUUUCAAGCUUUGUGAUGAGAUGCUUCAGGAAGGAAUUGAACCAGGUGUUGUAACUUACAAUACCCUUCUCAAGGGUUUAUGUCGUGCAGGUUCCUUUGAUGAUGCUUUGCACCUUUGGCAUGUGAUGCUCAAAAGAGGGUUGCUCCCUGAUGAGGUCAGUUGUUGUACUCUGCUUUGUGUGUUUUUCAAGAUGGGAGAAGUUGAAAGAGCUUUAGGAUUUUGGAAAAGUAUUUUAGCCAGGGGCGUUUCCAAAAAUAGGAUUGUUUUUAAUACAAUGAUUAAUGGACUAUGUAAGAUAGGGAAAAUGGAUGAAGCGAAAGAGAUAUUUGGCAAAAUGAAGGAACUAGGGUGCUUACCAGAUGUAAUAACAUAUAGAAUCCUGAUUGAUGGAUAUUGUAAAAUUGGAGAAAUUGAAGAUGCUUUAAAACUUAAAGAUAAGAUGGAAAGGGAAGCAAUUUUUCCUACAAUUGAAAUGUAUAAUUCUCUAAUUAGUGGAGUUUUCAAAUCUAGAAAAUUGAUCAAAGUAGGGGAUCUUCUUACUGAAACGUUUACCAGGGGACUAGCCCCUAAUCUUGUUACUUAUGGGGCUCUGAUUACCGGUUGGUGUGAUGUAGGAGACUUGAAAAAAGCAUUUAGCAUAUAUUUUGAGAUGAUUGAGAAAGGGUUUGCACCCAACAUAAUCAUUUGCAGCAAAAUAGUCAGUUGCCUGUACAGGCUUGGCAGGAUUGAUGAGGCAAAUUUACUGCUGCAGAAGAUGCUAGGUACUGAUCCUGUUUUAGCUCACUUGGGUUUGGAUAGCUUGAAGACUGAUGUUAGAUGUCGGGAUAUUCAGAAAAUUGCAAAUACUCUUGAUGAAAGUGCCAAAAGUUUUUCUCUGCCCAACAAUGUGGUGUAUAAUAUAGCCAUGGCAGGAUUGUGCAAGUCAGGGAAGGUCGAUGAUGCAAGAAGAUUUUUUUCGGCUUUGCUGCAACGAGGAUUCAAUCCAGAUAAUUUUACGUAUUGCACUUUGAUUCAUGGCUAUUCAGCCUCUGGUAAUGUCAAUGAAGCAUUCAGUUUACGGGAUGAGAUGCUGACAGUGGGUCUUAAGCCAAAUAUUGUUACUUAUAAUGCUCUUAUAAAUGGACUGUGCAAAUCAGGGAAUCUGGAUCGAGCACAGAGGCUUUUCAGUAAGCUUCCAUUGAAGGGGUUAGCUCCUAAUGCUGUUACCUAUAAUACAUUGAUUGAUGCAUAUCUUAAAGUUGGUAAAACUUGUGAAGCCUCUGGUUUGCUAGAGAAAAUGAUAGAAGAAGGGGUUUCCCCAUCUCCAGCCACCUAUUCUGCAUUGGUCACUGGCCUUUGUGAGCAAGGAGAUAAUGGCAAAACUAUGAAACUUUUGGCUGCUCAGGGUCAUGUUAAAUGUGGAGAUUUGAAGACGAUCACAAAGCUUCAUGAUAUUAUGCAUACUGUGUGUCCAUCCCUUGAUGUUGCCACACAGAAGCAAAUGGACUUGACAGUGUCCUCAGAUGCUAGAGUGUCAGACAAUGUGUAUUAUAUAUCUGAAGCUGUGUGUUGAUGGAUGCUCACAACUAAGGCGAUGCUGGGAUACUUUUAUUUGUGGGAAUAAGUUUAAAGAUUGGCCAUCCUGGUUUUCUUCUUUAACAUUGAAACUCAAGGGUUGGUCUUGCAUUCCCCUGCAUAAUACAUACGUGAAAUGCUUUAGAGCUUCCAGCAUAUCUUUUCUCCUGAUGGCAAUCAGAUGCAAUGGAGGUCCAUUUUCGACAUGCCCUAUGGAGGAAGGUUGAAAACAUAUAAUCCCAUGUUUAACACAUUGGUUUUGGACCAACUUUCAUGAUCUUCAGCUGGAAGCUUAGAAUGAUGCUUCAUGCCUAGAACCAAGCUAGAUGCCUCUCUAAUCCAGGCCCUAGAGGCUAGAAUAGGGUAGGAUGAUUAAAGUUUGUACAUGUAUCAGCCAAGGAAUACAUCCAGAUAGUUGUUGAAAUGAAAAUUUAGUACAGUUGUGGACAGAGCCAAAACUUGAUGUUCAAACUACAGAUUCAGUGAACUAUACAUGGUCUUUGUGACAAAAUCUCCUGUUCUUCAUUCUGAUCUAAUGAUGGGCAAAGGUCAUAACAACUACUCGUUUCAUGUACUUUUGUCCAUUUGCAUAUUGUUUAGAUUAAUUAAUCAAGAUAAUAGUAAUUGAACAUGCAAUAUCAGUAACUGCUGUUAUUAAUCUCUUAGAAUUUUCAGAGAUUCCAUUGUCAUAUGAUGGUCAUCUUUUUCACGGUUACUAUCAGUACUGUAAAUCAUAAUAGACUCGACAGAUUUAAGACCUCUAAUCUUUGUAUGGCUAAUGGUGCAAAUCAAAAGCCAUAAUAUCUACCACAACUUUUGAGAAAAUUUCCUAUCCUUCUUCCACUCAAUUUGACUCAUCUUAGAAUUGGGGGGUCUCCGUGGUGGCCGAGCUUAAGCAACUCGACAGGAAAGUAUCGUUUUCUUCCACUAUCGGCCGUCACUGUCUUACUUUUAAAAGACUAUUCUCAAAAGUUGAGGAAGAGACGGAUGUGUCUGUCUUCCUACGUUUACAGUCACUUGGAAGUUAAAGUUUUGUCCGAACCCAAGGACGGGAAAGCCAAGAAGAAGUCUCGAGCAGAGACGUAGCUAAUUAAUAACGGUACUAAGUCUGAACGAAGGUGAUUAUUGUUUCGACUUAUUCAAAGCUUGAAUCACCGGAAACCUUCAGGAUUCCGGUGCCCUUUUUCUUCUUUCAGGUCUCUGCUCGACCAACAAGCAGUAGCACCUCCGUUAAUCAGCCUAGUCCCCAUUCUUAUAGUUUGGAACUCAACAACCACCUUGAUCUCACAAUUCCAGGAAAGUUGCAGCUGCGACAGAUACAACGACUGAUGAUGACUCGUUUGACAGAAACUUGACGUUUGACGCGUAAGUCAAUGAGAUUUGAAUACACCCAAGCUUUAAAGUACUAAAUAAUACUUAGAAAAACCUGAAGCUUUAACCAUCUUGUACUGUUCCCUAGUCAGGAUUUGAAACUGAUUUCCAUUCUUUUCUCUAAAGGAAGGUUAAAGAAAACUUGCUCUGAUAUAUGCAGAAAGGUAUGGUUCAUCGAACAAAGGUGUAAAUUUUAUAAAUUUGCUUGUACAGCUCGAUCAAAAGUGGGUAGACUGAAAGGUAUACACCAUCUACCAGGACUGCAGAAGUUGCUUAGGAUCUCAGGAAAACCCCACGUGAAAAAGGAGAAUAACUUGCUAAAUAUGGUGCUACUGCUACUGCUAACGCUAAUUCCAAUCGGACCAAUGACAAACUAGCAAACACCCCAUCUUCACAGAUCGAAAGAGCUUUCUUUUCAGAUGGCUGACCAGUGUUCUUCUUUGUAAUUCGUGCAGAUAUCUGUCCCUGAGUAUUCAGGUAGAAUAGUCAUGAAAUGUGCAGCACCACUGCUUUUGGAUAAAAGGGUUAUCAAAAGCUACAUCACCAUGAAUUGAUGUUGAACAAUACUACUUGUCAUAUUUGAAAGUCAUUUCCAUCUUUGAUCUACUACUUCAAGUGGUCCUUUAUUUAUUUCUCAUAAUGAUUGAUCCUACUUCCUAUCAGGCCAAUUUCACAACGAUUAUUACUAAUAAAAGAAUUACUAACCAGAAGCAUAUUUAAAAUUAAUUAUGCUUUCACCCUCUUUUAAUUUUUAUUUUUCUCUACACUAGCUAGAGAAAUAUUUUGGGGUUGAGAAAAGUGGGACCCACACGCUUUGACUUUAUUCCCGAUCACAGCCGUUGAAUUUUCGUAGUCUUUUAAAAGUCAUGCCACGCGGCAUUCAUGGAAUCCCCCAACGAGCACGAUUUAUUGAUGUUCCGGCAAUACUUCUCCCUCUUUGUUCUUUCCCACUAUAAUCUACCGACACUCCUUUUUUUUUUAUUAAAUAAUUUUAUUUUCUUAAUUAAUAAUUAUACUUUUUUUAGAAUAAAAAAUUAGAAAUAAAAUGUCAAAAAAUCUAACAGGCUGGCAUUCGGAAAAUGCCUAGUUGACAUAAUUGGAUCCAAGACCAAUAAUUGAUAACUUUAUUAAAUUUUAAUGAUAUAAUGCUUUAAAAUUUUUUUUGAAUUUUUUAAAAAAUAAAAUUAUUUUUUAUUACAUUUUUUAUCAAAUAGAUAUUUAUAAUUAACGAUUAAUUAAAACACUAUUUAUUAUUUUUAUAUUCACAUUAAAAUAUGUAAUGUAAUUUAUCACGCGAUCAUAUCAUCAUGUCAUGUCAAUACAUCUCGUUACCAUAUUUUAUGACAUGUGAGUGUUUUACGUUAUUACCAAAUCCCAUAAAAUGAUACAUGAUAAACCAUUAUCAUAAAAAUUUAUUUAACUCAAAAUAAAAAUAUAAAAAAGAAUAUAAUAUAUUUAACUUUUCAUAAAUAAUUCAAGGGUUUUUUGUAGAUAUUAUACCAAUCUUAUUCUAAAUCUGAUUUUUCUUAAAUAUAAUUAUUCAAUGCAUGCAACUAAAUUAGUGAUUAGCCAAUACUUUAAGAUCUAAAUAAUUAAAUUUGGUCAGUUUUGGGAGACUAAAAUAUUCUAUUCAUCCAAAUCUCAACAUAUGAAAUCAAUGUGAGUUGGAAGUUGACAAGGCAUAAUCAAACAAACCAGUAUUUUCCCCAUAAAUAAUUAUUCCAAAAUAGUUGUCAUUCACAUUUUUUUUUUAAUUAGUGCAAUUUUGUCAUCCAUAUUUAAAUAAAAAUUAAAAUGACUGCAAAGGCAUUUGGCAAUAAUAACUUUCAUUCAAGUACUAAUAUAUACUUCUUCUGUCUCUUUUUCUUUAUCCGGCACGACCUAACUUUGAUUUUUAAUUCGAUUAGCGAUUUAGAGUGUAAUUAUAUUCUUCAAUCUUAAAGCAAGAUUAAUUGGGAUAUCAAAAACGUAAUUAUAAAGAAAAUAAUGAUUGAAAAAUUAAUUUUAUAAGCUUUUUUUUUAAUUUAUAGAUUAAUUAAACCGUGAAUCCCUAAGGAAUAUUGGAAAGAUAUAUAGGAUGGAGUUGUAUGUGUUUGUCCUUUAAUCAUCCUUGAGGAAUAUGUAUGUUAUUAAUUAUGUCAACCCUAUACUUUAUUCUUCUUCUUCGUUAAAGAGUCUCAUCAGCUGGCAAAUAUGUCUUUCCAGCCAUUUCCACGUAAAAGACAAAUUUCUAACCAUUAAAAUACCAGGAAAAAGAAAAGGAAGAAGAAAACCCAGUAAUGCGGGUUGAAUGCGAAAUGCUAAGAUCCAAGGAAAGAGGAGGAACUUGAUCCUUAAGCAUUCAAUAUUAUAACCAGAUUGCCAACCAGUUUCCGUUAAUGGUUUCCCAGGGUAUGUAACAAGCACAUGAGAGGAACACAUGGAAGGGAGGCCAGAUUUAUUUUAUAUUGAACAAGGAAAGAUUCAUGGAAAAUUAGCCAACCAAAACAGCUCUUUUUGCUCUACAGACUUUGAUUUU